GCGAAUGACGGGUGAGGAGGCGCGGUAAGACGGAGGUGGUGAGCGUGGGCCGGAUUCAGUGGGCGGAAAGCGCGCGCAGGCGGCACGGUAAGUCGGAUGUGAAAUCUCACGGCGCAACCGUGGAACUGCAUUCGAUACUGUCGGGCUAGAGGCAGGUAGGGGAGAUCGGAAUUCCCGGUGUAGCGGUGAAAUGCGCAGAUAUCGGGAGGAACACCGGUGGCGAAGGCGGAUCUCUGGGCCUGUCCUGACGCUCAGGCGCGAAAGCUAGGGGAGCGAACAGGAUUAGAUACCCGGGUAGUC
rnacentral:rRNA from 1 species